CGCGUGGUGGACGUACCUGUUGGUGGGGAAUAACUGCCCGAAAGGGUGGCUAAUUCCGCAUAAGUCCUUCGGUUCAUGACUGAAGGGGAAAGCUUCGCAAGAGGCGCCGAUGGAGCGGCCCGCGUCCGAUUAGCUGGUUGGUGGGGUAACGGCCUACCAAGGCGACGAUCGGUAGCUGGUCUUAGAGGAUGAUCAGCCAGACUGGGACUGAGACACGGCCCAG
rnacentral:rRNA from 1 species